GGGUUAAUCUCAGAGCUUGGAGGGCAGAUGGAAAGUGCACUUUGUAUGACUCCCUCCCUCACCACCAAGAAGCCCGGUGGUCACCACAAGGGUGGGGAUGCAGAAGAUGCUAUAUUAAUGGUGAUUUCUAUUGAGAACAAAAAGGGACGUCGGCUUUCAUUUUCUGCUCUUUUCUCUGUGUGAAGGGACUUCUUGCAAUUGCUGUGGCCGUUGCCCCUGACUCCUAAAUUAAAGACUUCUGAAGUAAAUGAACAGUUUAUGAAGUAUGAAUUAAAGAUUAGAGCUAAAUGGCCUGACUCACCGGUGAGCGGAGGGUGAUUCACGGCAGGGGAAUCUCUUCCCAAAUCCGGUAAUGUAGAUUCGCCAGGCAGCACCAGCACUUUGGGAUCCUGUGUCUCUGUUUCUGCUCCCAGCGUGGCACAGAAGCUCAACAAUGAGACAGUGGGACAGGAGUAAAACUACUAAAAGCUGAGGCCAAAGGACCAAGUCCACUGUUAAGCCACUUAGGAGGGACUGAGGCAGGCUGGCUUACAGCAUACUCCUCUCUCUUCCCAUCAGACAACAUGCACCAAGCUUUGGAAAUUGCUUCUCCUACAUUCAACUACAUCAGAAUCAUUCCUGAGUCUUUACUGAAGUCUCCUAAAAAUGCCAACUAAUCCCAGCUGGACGUGGGCUUUUCCAGAUGAAAAGGAAUCAGCACUCCUUUGCCACCAGCAGUGGACUCACCCUCUACAAUAAUUGAAGAUGCAAGCUCCCUCAGAUGAGAAGAAAACAUCCAUUUUCCUCCCCCUCCACUUAGUCCCUGGCAAUAAAGCUGAGUAACCUGAAGGAAAACAUUAUUUGAAGGCAAGAAUUUGUAGCUCUCCCCUCUAUUCCACUCAAUCUGGAUGUUGAUUUAUUCUACAAUUACUGAGAAACUGCUAUGUGUUAGAUGCUACAAAUGGUUUUGAUUAUAUCUGGAUGAAUUUAAAAUAUGAUCCCGUGUCAACAUCCUUCUUGGUCCUCAUCAAUACGAAACA